rnacentral:rRNA from 1 species
AUGCGGCGCCUCUCGCAGACCAUUAUAUAUACUUGGCCUGCUGGUUCCCUCCCGCUGGUGUUGGCUGGCUGUGCUGGCUCUCCUGUCCCCUCUCCCCUCCCCCGUCCUCCCCCAAACCCCUCCCCCCUCCCCAAUCUUCCCAAUCAUAGGCACCUGAGCAGGAGGAGGAAGAAGAAGAAGCCACAGGAUAGGGACAAGGAGGGAGAAGAAGGGGAUAAAAGUCUUGCGAUAUGGCUUCAGCGUUUGAUCCUGCUCUUGUGCCUGGAGGGAGAUGACGCCGGGAGACCUCGUCAAUCUUCAGGAUCAGAUGGGCUUGAUGUGUGCUCUGGGGAUAAGAUAGAUAUUAUCUGCAUGAUUGCUGUGGAAUUUGUUGAUAUAGCUUAUUUGUUAUAG